AGGGCUGUGGCUCAGCAGCAGAGCAUCUGCUUUUGCAUGCAGAAGGUCCUUGGAUCAAUCCCCAGCAGCUCCA